rnacentral:tRNA from 1 species
GGGACUGUAGCUCAGUGUUAGAGCACUUGCCUAUCAUGCAUGAGAGACCCUAGGUUCAAUUCCCCAGUCCUG